CUGAACACAGGUGUUCUUUAUUUCGGUUUGUGUAAUCGCAGAUGACGUGCCUCAUCGUUUUCGUGUGUAAACAGCGCAGACACGACUGCUGAAUUUGUUUCCAUUGUGUCGUGUGUGCGAGAUUGGAUUGAGUUGCAUAAACAAAAAAUUCACUGAGGAUACCAAAGCCUCGUUGGGCCCCAUCUGCGCGGCUAUGAAGUGGUUCGAGGGCUCCAUUCCAGAGGCAAUCGCUCUGGCAAAGUCCAAGCAACAACUCUUCCUAGUGUUCAUCGAAGGAAAUGAUGAACUUUCAAAGGCCAUGGGGACCACUUACGAAGAUGCGGCCGUUUCAUCGAAGCUGCAGAGUUCUCGCUGUGUCGCCAUCAAGCUUCAGGCUGGCAGCGAGCCAUGCCAGCAGUUUUCACAGAUCUACCCCGUCGUGGUUGUGCCAUCAAGCUUCUUCAUUGGCUGCAAUGGCAUUCCUCUGGAGGUGAUUGCGGGCAGCGUGGAGCCACCCGAGCUUCUCCACCGCAUUGACAAGCUCUUCCAGGAACCUAGCUGUGUUGGUGACAAUGGCAGCUUGCCAACCGAAGUAGCCCUCGAGCCAGCACCCACUGUGUCGGCCUCACAGGCUGAGGCCACACCACCUGACGCAGCUGCAGCAGCAGCUUCCCUGGAGGAGAGGGUCGAGAGGGCGAAGCGUCUGGUUGAGGAUCGGCGCCUGCAGAAGAUAAAGGAAGAGGAGGAGGCGGUGCGGCAAAGCGAGGUGGAGCGAAGGCGUGUGGCAAGGGAGCUGCAAUUGGCGCAACAGUCACGGGAGGAUCAGCAGCGCCGGGAAUGGGCGCGGCAGCGGGCACAGGAGAAAGAGGAAGAACGCAGGCACCGGGAACGCAUCCAGGCACAGAUUGCACAGGACAGGGCAGACCGUGCUGAGAAGUACCACAAGGACAAAAGCCAGGAGGAGCAGCGCAAGCGGGAACGUGAGGCCCAGCGGCUCCUUGAACAGCAGCAGAGGGCUGCGCAGGAGGCUGCAGCACGAAGCCAAGUAGCAAGGAUACAGUUUCGUCUGCCAGAUGGAUCAUCUGCUACACACACCUUCGAUGCUAAUGCCACACUUCAGGAUCUGCACAACUAUGUUGUCGAGACGGUGCAGCCGAGCUUUUCAAACUUCACCCUGUCAACGACAUUCCCACGUCGAGAGUUCACCCAGGAGCAGUACCAGAGCAACCUGCGUGAGCUGGAGCUGGCCCCAUCGGCUGUCAUCCUUGUUGUACCUGUUAGCAUGCCCAGCGUGGUGGUCCCAGCAGCAGUGAGCAAAUCGGGAGCAUCACUCAUGAACCUCCUGUGGUCUCUGCUGACACCAUUUGGCGUGAUCUGGAGUCUCUUCGUAGGCCUCAUCUUUGGAUCGCCCGACCCCCCAGUUUCGGCUCCAGCUUCUGACAUCAGUACUGGUGCCACUGCUCAGCACACUGAUGCUUCGCAAGAGCAAGCACAGGGGGGGGCACGACGGCGACGCACGCCACAGCAGCCACAAGGCGAGGGCAUGUACCAACGUGAAGGAAACGUGUACCGCUUCUCCAACCAGCGCUUCAGUGAUGAGGACGAUGACACCAACACCUGGAAUGGGAACUCCACGCAGCAGAUGUAGCCUUGCCAUAACUGCGUACACAUGGGAUGGUCAGGAGCAGUACAAAAAGGAUAAAAUAUAUAUAUGUGGACAGGGAGUGGGCUCAGAUGCGGCAGCAACCUGUUAAGUUGAAGAGGAAUUAGAUGCAAAGGCACAGGUGGUACUGCUGCAAUAUUUCAAUGUGAACUUUUUCGAUGGUGGUACAAACUGCAAAUCACACUCUAGUACAUCUGUGCCUUUGUGCAGUAAUAACCAAUAUCGAGCUCGCAGUGAUGCGAGAGAGUAUGGGAAAACAAGCUCAAAUUAAGCCAGGAAAAUGGCAGGUGAUUGCCUAAACCGAACGAUGUUUUUAAGAACAAUUUUGUGGUAACUAGGGGCGUGAUCUUGUACGCGUUCCAAAAUGGAACGGAGGGGUUCCAUUCCAUCGAGCCGCACACGAUUGGUCAAUUUCAACCGUGACGUUCAAAUUGACCAAUCGUGUGCGGCUCGAUGGAACGGAACGCCUCCGUUCCAUUUUGGAACGCGUACAAGAUCGCGCCCUAGAUUACUAAAAUGUCCAGGAAUGCACAAACAAAAUGCUAGAAAAACCAUUGUAGACAACCUCGUGUGGCUCCUAAAACCUUUCUUAGCUUUUAUGUAUAGAAUUCCCAAGGAAACAAAUGCGUCAAGCUCCUGCCUAUAUUGUUCCAUGCCCUGGUUCGCUUUAGUUUGUUUUCUUUUUUUCUUUUAUACAUGGGUGCACCAACUUGUCAAAAUGUGCGCACUUAGCUGCAAAGUUGAAAGACCAUGCGAGCACAUGCCAAACUGCAUAUCCACAACUUCUACUGGCGCACUGGCUGCUGUCGAAAGCAGCACUCGAAUGAAGCUGAGGUACAUUAGCACAAGCUCUUGGGCCAGUUGGUGCAUGCUGAACUUCAAAAAAGGGAGUUACCAGCGAAUACACAAGGACACGUACACAAGGAAAAGGCAUUAGCCACAGGCGGACGCUGACAGAAAGUCCAGCGUUCCUCCGUGUCUAACGCCUUUUCCUUGUUUACACGUCCUUGUGCAUUUGCUGGUACUUCCCUUUUUCAAGUUCAGAUGAAACUACAUCACUUUACACCCACACGCUUGUUGAUUCUCUUCCACUGCCUGACAGUUUUUAUUGCCGUCACUGUGUGGAUACUUCAGUGGCUGGCACAACUUAUUUCUGGCUCAGUAGCAAUGUAAUAGAAGCAGGCACACAUCUUUGUGUCACCUGCCAGAGAGUUGAUAUUGCUUUGCGGGAUGAACAGUUCCUUUUCGAAAAUGGCACUGUCACCCCAAAAGCACUUUCUGUCUACCACUGAAAUGGAAUUUGCUCUGUGAUGACCAUGCAAAGCUGUCAGAUAGUAUGAAAAAAUUUACACUCUUGUGAGCAAACAGUGACACACUUAUGCCCUAGCUAGGCUCUCAAUAGCAGCUGUCACACUGGAGGUGCAGUCAUGGAUGCACUCACAUGGUCCACAAACGUAUGCUGUCAACUGUGCAUCAAAAAAUGGGCUCCUAGUAAGCCAUUUAACUUGAUGGCAAGCUCUUCUUACAGGUAUAAAGCAGUAAUUUCCCAGCUUGCUUUGACUUAUUUAUCGGCUGCAGGAACAGUGCAGUGACAAGUUUGGCUUUCUCAAGAUAGCGAUCAGUUGUCCACACCAAAAGCAGUGUAUCUGAUGAUGAGAGAGAACCAUUUUAUUUUGCCCUAUACAGGUUCAUGGUACCUGUCUUGCAUGAAGUUUGAUGAGAGGCACAGCAUAUUGGGCAUUAAUUAAUUUGUUGAUUUGCUGAAUUCAUUUUGUAAAGAGGGCAUAACAAAGAAAAGUUUCAACUUGGUGCUAAGAGACCCAGCCCAACCACUAACAAAUAAACGAGGUCCUUUAUUAGUGCUAUUUGAUGACCAGGAACAUUUUACUUGAUCAGAUCAACCAACAUUAAUUGUCCUUCACCCUGAUUCAGCAGAUGACUUGAGCAUGCUUUAGCUAAGUUCAGUUAUUGUAGCUGGAGCUGCAUUUUCUUAAUAGUCAUGAUGAAGCCUAAUUUGUUAUUGUAAUAUGGAGGCCUAAUUUGUUAGACGUGCCAGCCACGAGGUACUGUGGCCAGUCGUGCAGGCCGCAGCACUUUUGUUUUCUUAGCUAGGAUGUUCGACAAAUGCAACUUGUGAAUGGCCAUCAGAAAACAUGCUGCAAAGAAGCUGUCAUGCUUUGGGCAAUGAUGGAAAUUCAGCUUUCAUGCUACAAGCUUUGUUUCUACCUGUAGUUAGGACUGGGCCAUAUUGGAAUGCCAGUUGUUAGAUGCGUAUGUAGCCAUUUUAAGUAGUUUAACCUGAAGUAAUGUUUCUUGAAGGGUUGAGGAGUUGUGUAGUAUUCUGAUUUGCAUUUUAGGUAACCAAGUGGGCGUGUUCAAAUGAACCUAAAUAUACACAGUGCCAUUAUUUCUAUGGACAUUAAGAACAACUGCAAAUUUCUUUGACAGAUGAAGAUGGCUUGCGUAAGCUUUUUCUUUAAUGGGGUUUUUUUAAGGCUGGGCAGUCACCUUCAUGCUCAGAAAUUUGUGGUACCUUUUUUUUGUGUGUUAAUGUCUUCAGUUGACCAGCAUGCCAGGCUACUUGCGGUUUUGUGAAGGCAGCGUGGCUCAAAGAUAGCCCGGUGCCUUGCACAACAAGCGAACAUUGGGCAAGGAAUGUAAGCCAGGCUCACAUAAGAAGUAAGCUGCGAUUAGUACAAUGGGCAUGGCUCCUUCCCACCUUGUAAGUAAUGUUUCUUGAAACACUCUCUGAAAUGUGCUUAUCAAGAGAGAACUUUAAAAAAAUCAAAUUACUGUAAUGUUUAUGGUGUCCCUGAAAAAGCUAAGUUGUUUCACAAUAUUGGUUAUCCUGGUGCACCCACUGUAUCUGGAACACUGCAGGGAAGCUGAAAUAAAUGUUUGCUAUAGGCUGUAUGUGAAUGGAUUGUUAGGUUUUCUUUGCAGUUGGCCUUGAGCUUCGCAGAAGACAUUUCUGUGUCACAUUUUUUAUGCCACACAUUCUUUUGUGUUCAUAGCAUCAUCUCUUAGAUUGAGAUUGUGUACUGGAAAAGUCUUCUCUUGCAUGCUAUUUCCUAGAACAUUGGCCAUAGUUUGCUGGGUUGACUACUUUGUUGUGGCAAUUCAAUGUCCAACGUGAAGUAGAAACAUUCCUAUGCAUUACAUUGUUAAUUUCUGCCUUGUACUGAAAGUGUCACCUAGCAAAUCAGACUGCUGUUUCCAGCCUGUCACAGCCUGUGCCCUGUGGAAAUGGAUAAAAUAAAUGCCAUU
rnacentral:misc_RNA from 1 species